CCCAAAAAUUUAAAUUCCCACCAAAUCCCAACCAAUAUUUUCCUUGCCCCCAAAUUGGAAAACCCUAACAAUCGCACAUCAUCUGCCUCUAUCUUGUAUAGGUCGGUCAGCGGCAAACCACCACGCAGAAGCUUUCAAUCAUCAUCAUCAACUGGCAACACAAACAGAAUGCGAAGCAGUCUUUUGUGAGAAACAAUCGGUCAAAAGGCCAUUACAUUCAGGGUGUGGAGCUUACUGAUUCAUUUGUUGAUGUAUGCAAGGUCGGAGAUGAAGUUUUCCUCAAAAGCAUUCUAAACUCUACCGAGACUGUAGCAAGAGGAAGGGCCCAGAGCUUGGACCCAAAUGAUCUAGUUGGUGGUACAGAGAUUGGACCAAAAUGGUGUGAGGUAAACGUUCAAGUACCAAUAAAAAAGAUGAAAACUUGGUAAGACCAUAUGGUUUAUAUUCUACAAUUCAAGAUUGUAUUGGUGCAUCUAUCGCAUGGCCUCAUCUCGGUAGUCCAUGAGAAUUGAGGACGCAUGAUGACUCAAGAUUUUAUGCUUCUAUUUAUUUAAUUGCUUCUAAUUUCUUUGUUAAAUGUUAAGACUUUAUGUUAGAUAAUGUUAUAACUUAUUUAUGGUUAGUGUUUUUGUUAUGAA